rnacentral:sRNA from 1 species
UACUGUCUGCGUCAUAUAACAACUGGC